rnacentral:rRNA from 1 species
UACGGAGGGGGCUAGCGUUGUUCGGAAUUACUGGGCGUAAAGCGCGCGUAGGCGGACCUGCAAGUCGGGGGUGAAAGCCCGAGGCUUAACCUCGGAACUGCCCUCGAUACUGCGGGUCUCGAGUCCGGGAGAGGUGAGUGGAAUUCCUAGUGUGGAGGUGAAAUUCGUAGAUAUUAGGAAGAACACCAGUGGCGAAGGCGGCUCACUGGCCCGGUACUGACGCUGAGGCGCGAAAGCGUGGGGAGCAAACAGG